rnacentral:tRNA from 1 species
CAGUAUCUAGUUUAUAUGUAAAAUUUAGUGUUUGGGUCACUAAGAAUGUUUACUGA